rnacentral:rRNA from 1 species
AGCAUGUGGUUUAAUUCGAAGAUACACGAAGAACUUACCUGGCCUUGACAUGGUAGGAACCUUAAGAGAUUAGGGGGUGCUAGCUUGCUAGAACCUACACACAGGUGCUGCACGGCUGUCGUCAGCUCGUGUCGUGAGAUGUUGGGUUAAGUCCCGCAACGAGCGCAACCCUCGUCCUUAGUUGCUAACAGUUCGGCUGAGCACUCUAGGGAGACUGCCUUCGCAAGGAGGAGGAAGGUGAGGACGACGUCAAGUCAUCAUGGCCCUUACGGCCAGGGCUACACACGUGCUACAAUGGGGCGUACAGAGAGCUGCGAUACCGCGAGGUGGAGCCAAUCUCUUAAAGCGUCUCUCAGUUCGGAUUGUUCUCUGCAACUCGAGAACAUGAAGCUGGAAUCACUAGUAAUCGCAGAUCAGCUAUGCUGCGGUGAAUACGUUCCCGGGUCUU